rnacentral:rRNA from 1 species
UACGUAGGGUCCGAGCGUUGUCCGGAAUUACUGGGCGUAAAGAGCUCGUAGGUGGUUUGUCGCGUCUGCUGUGAAAACCCGAGGCUCAACCUCGGGCCUGCAGUGGGUACGGGCAGACUAGAGUGCGGUAGGGGAGAUUGGAAUUCCUGGUGUAGCGGUGGAAUGCGCAGAUAUCAGGAGGAACACCAAUGGCGAAGGCAGCUCGCUGGAACGGUACUGACGCUGAGACGCGAAAGCGUGGGGAGCAAACAGG